UGCAGACCGCGGCGAGGUCUGCCCUCAGCCUCCUCCAGGCUGAACGCACCAAGUGCCCCCGGCCAGUCCCCCCAGGGCUGAGGGACGGCUCAGGGAUGGUUCAGGGAUGGCUCCCCCCAUGGCUCAGGACGGCCCAGGGAUUGCUCUCGUCCGGGGCCGAGGCGCUGCCCUCCGCGGGAUCGCGGCGCAGGCGGGCCCCGCCCCGGGCAGCCCUCGGCCGGAGGGUGCUGAAGGAACUUGGAAUGAAUGUGACAGAUGUGGAGAAGUGUGGAAACAAUUAAGAAGUGGCAUAAAGGUGCAGAAAAAGCAUGGAAAACAUGAGAAAGAAAAAUAACACUAAAGAAGAAAAGAAAGCACAGGCACCACCAACCAGCAAAGAUAAAAUCUACAAAUAACAGGAAAAAAAGCACAAUUAUUAAGGACUCCAACGCCCAGCUCGUGCCACAAUGCUCAGCAAAUUGUGCAAUUCGCCAUCUCUGACACGGGGUGGCACAACAUGGCUGGGAAUCCAUCGAGUGCGAAAUAGAACCGAGAGCACACGCAAACAAGAGGUCAGAGCCAACUACGAGGGCAUGUUGAAUAAUUCUGUUUCUAAACAUCAGACAAUUGCAAAUAUAAGCAUUUUCUGACACGAAAGCUUUACCAAAGAGAACAGGCUUGAAGGAAUAAUGCUCUAUUGCAUGAAUUUGUCCUGUACAUGGAAGGAAUAAACUGUUACACAAUUUUGGGGCAUCACAUAUUUCACAAUUAACCUUUAAAUAGAAAUUAGUCAUCAAAAGCAACAGAAUACAAAACAUCCAUCUUUUUAAUAGUCCUUUCACAUUUUACAUAUUAGAAAAAUAUUUUCUAGUAACCUAAAAAAACCCCACCACCUAGAUGAAAAGUGCCCCCCUUUCAAGUGGUUCAAGCAACAGCUCAGAAAUGUUGGGAUUUGAAAACAUUAAUUUGAAUGUCUGUCUCUGUGGGGUUGCAUGU